rnacentral:lncRNA from 1 species
ACUUUGCCUAAACUUGUGGAUGGAUCCAUAAACAACUCUCCUUUAAAUGAGGCAUUUGCCAACAUUUCCUCUAUUUUUCAUGAGUUUGUUUCUAACAGGAGUGCUGUUUGAUUGUUGAAGGGAAGCUAAUGGAGACCUAUUUUUAACCAUUUUUUCCACUUCAGAAAAUACAGCAUCCGUAGAGAAGUCCCUCUGCAGAGCUAAGUCAUGGAAAGAAAUGAUACGUCUAGUCUUAACUGUCCUUGUGCAUGCUCUCAUCCCACAGUACCUUGCCAGAUUUCAAUCAAACUAGGGCAGGAACGAGAACAUGGGGCAGGUGGUGAAGAACAGCUCAUGUGUCAUACAUCCACCCAUGAAUGCCGCCUCCUGGUACCAGUGUUGGCAGCCAGUCCUUGCCUUCUGGAAUCGGACAGGUACCAUGGAGGAGGAGGUGAUCUUGGUGUUUCUAGCUCUUCAGUUGUUGUUGGAAUUUUAUUUGUUGCUGCAGUGAGCACUGGUCGCAAUGUGUAAGACUUUCAUCUCUCUGAAUAACUUCAAACACUUGUUGGGUUCUGUGUUUGAGACCUAGGGGCACACGUAGCCUGGAGUGCCAGGUUUAUGCGUUACUGUGAAUUCACAGCUGGCCUCAAAUGCUUUCAAAAGCAGUAGCUGAAGUAACUUUCAUAUUCAGCAGGUAACAGUGAAAGGCCUUGGUCAACAGUCCCUUUGAAGGAGUGGUCCUGCUGUCACCUUCAAAAUCAGUGCUGUAAAGCCAGUGCCUUCUAACUCUCGUGCUUAUCCUCAUGCUUGCUCAUGAACCUCCCUCUUCUGGGGAAGAGUGGGAGGCAUUCUGUUUUAUUAUUAUUCUUGUUUUAAAUGAUCCGGUAUAAACUGAUGGCUCCAGAGAAGUAGUAUUGUCCAGCCUGCUGUUGGAUCCUUGCAAGCUGAUUGGAAUAGCUGCCUGAAACUGUUGGUAUGUUUUUAGGGGUUGCAGCCUUCACUGCUUGCCUUCCCACCCUUCAAGGACGGCUCACCCUUUUCAGUUGCACUGACGUUAAUUGCUUGGUGGAUCAUGCAAAUCAUUCAAGUUAUCAACAGCUGCAUCCCACUGCACACUGUCUUCAAAAUAGGAAGAGGCACCGGGUAUCUGUGGGUGAUUAGAGGACAUUAGGUCAGCUUUGCCACUGAAGCAGCACCGUGAGUCAGCUGCUUUACCAAAGCAAUGGCAAUGGUCGUGUGGCUUCAACGAGCCUGUACAAUAGCAGACACUGGUAACCACAGCUGCCGCCAUCCCACCUGUCCUGUUGUCUUCUCAAAAAGAGUGGCACUGUGCCCUGCCUGCUAUGACCAGCACCUGUCUUUCCAUUAGGCAGGAAUAUUUCACCCCGCAGCAGCGGUUAUGCUAACAAGUUAUUCAACUCUUUGGAGACCCUUCAGUUUGGGCUAAUGUUAUAGUGGCUUAGUGAUUUUCCUCUGCAUCAGCCCUCAUUCUCUUUUCCUACCAUCAGUAAUUUCAUUUCUUCAUCUCUGCUGAGCUGUGGCACCAACGCUUAUCUGAAUAUCUGUGACCUUCCUUUUACUGUUUGCUCUCCUUGCUAUCUUCAUUGGACUUCAUUUUCCUUCCCUGCUGUCUUUUUACAGGAUUUGUCUUCAGCCUCUGUCCUUUUUCAUACAGAUAGAUGAAACUGUUUUAUUAUUUUACACUUGGUAUUUUUUUCUCGUUAGUUUACAAAAAUGUAAAUGUAUUUUAUGUCUUGUGGCAAUGCUCACGUAUAAGAGCAUUUGGUGUGUUACAAAUGGCUAUGAAAAGGGAUAGGACUUGAGGAGGUUCAGAAGUAAUGCACAGAACUGCUGCACUGGGAUGUUAUAUUGAUAUCUGUGUUUGGGUAUUGAAUCAGAAGUCAAGGUGAAGGUUUGAUUCCAGGCUCUGGAAUCACUGCUGAUACGGAGAACUUGCAUACACAGGAGGGGAGUGACUUACCAUGUAAUUAAUAGCUUGUGGACUACACGUCUAUCAGCAUGAGUUUCAUUUGAAAACCUUAGCUUUCCCCAUGAGGUGAUUGAAUACAGAGUGCUUAUUCCCUUAAUUCCUUGUGUUAACAAGAAAACGAAAAGGUCGACAAGAAGGAAUUGGCCCUCUCAGGGUUUAACAGUGAAUGAGGACAAGAGCAUGUUGUGUCUUUAAAGCUUUUCAAAAAUACUUGUCUACCGCCAUGAAAACCCAACCAAUUCACCUGGUAAAAACCAGCAGCCCUCUGUCUGUAACUUAUUAAUUGCUUUCUUUACCUUUACAGAAGUCUUUUAUAUUUUUCAUGUAUGACCUUUGAAUUUUAACAAUUGAACAACUAACAGGCAGGACCCUAGAGGUGGAGUUGAGCACACUUGCUGCCUUGGUUCUGCACAGUUGAUUGCCUGCCGGCAAGGGAGGUAAACUAAAGAAAACUGCAACAAACACGUGUGUCAAACCUCAAUAACACUGCAAUAAACAUACAUGUCAAACCUGUGGAGUACGACCUAUCUGAGGUCAGUAUAUCCUCUUCUGAUAAAGGAUACUGGAAAACGGUGUUUGGUGUACUUUGUUGAGGUGACUGAACACGCUCAGGCUGUUAAUUAAUGAGGUAGAGUGAUUUUAAUUAUCACAAGAAAUGUGAGUUAUCAUUUGUUGCAUACAAGUACCUGCUAAAAUACUUCCACGUUUUGCAUUACUCAGAAAGAAGAAACAAGUGAUGUGGUUCCUCACCGCUGUUUUCCAGUUGUCUCACUCUGUAUUGUGUUCUUUAUUAAACAAUGCCACACACAUCUGUUGGCUGAUCUGCUGUACUGCCAAGUUCAAGUCUAGCACAACGAGUCUAGAUUGCCUGUUGCCUUCUUGAUGUUUCACUGGGAUAAUUGACUAUGAAGAGUUAAAAGAAUGCUUCACUGAGCUCUUGAGUUUGAAAUAAAAAUAAUUUCAUGGAUAAAUGUUUUAUUUGUCAUAGUACUGAAGAUAACGUAAUGUCAUUGUCAUGCUGUUUAGUUUUCCUUUUGAACUGAGGAUUUUCAGCGCUGAGAAUGUGCCUAGCUAUGAUCAUAGGUGUUUAUGGUGUUUUCAUUGUGCUAAACUGUAAAGAUUUGUGAGAUUUUGUGUUGCAGUUGUGUUUGACCCUAGAGUUCUUGUAUGCUAACCUAAUGUAGAAGAUUAGCCUCUUUGCAUGCAGUGGGUGCCGUGACAAGCAUGCUCUGUGAGAAUGACAUAACCUCCCCUGGCUGCAGCCCCUUCCCAGUCCCGUUGUGGCCUCAUUUCCUGUGAAAGGCUGAAAAAACUCAUUGGCGAACGAGAGUCCUUACUAGACCAGGUGAAAAAGUUAAAGGGACAACUGGAAGAAAAGCAGAAGAAUGGCAAGUUGGAGAACGCACAGUCUGAGGUUGAAGUUCUGGAAAAUGGGACAGACAUGCACAUGAUUGACCUCCAAAGUAAUACGACUGGAAGGUCAGGUAGCCCGAUACAAAACUGCUGCUGAAAAUGCUGAAAGAGUAGAAGAUGAACUGAAAGCAGAGAAGCGCAAACUACAGAGAGAGCUUCGUUCAGCACUGGAUAAAACUGAAGAGCUCGAAGUCAGCAACGGUCAUCUAGUAAAACGCUUGGAGAAGAUGAAGGCCAACCGCAGUGCUUUACUGUCACAGCAAUAACCACCACCUCUCAGUGGAAACGACUACUGGGCAGAAUCCGAACAAUGUUACAGAUGCUUCUGUGUCUUGCUGUCUGGGAUGCUUUGCGUCAUGCCUUCUGACAACAGACAACUGCAACGUUUGCUAGGUGCCACCCAGCUGUGGUUCUCUUUACGCAGAUUCAAAUCUACUGCACUAUAUCCCUAGGAGUAGCUGAUCCAAAUGGCUGUGCCUGCGGGGCCCUUCUACACACUACUGUGGGUACACUGGGCGUACAAUAUCCAUAUACCAUAUAAGAAGCACAUCGGGGCGCCGCGUUAAGUUCUUUCUCCACCCAGAAGGCAUGGCAGCUGUCUCUCGCCAUUUAAAAUGGCAUUCAAAGAAAACACUUUAACUGGACUGGAAUUUUGUGUCUUGCUGAGAAUUUUAAAAAAACACUGUAAGUUUUAGACUUUCUCAUGACGGUAUCUGUAAUUUAGUGACUACGGUAGAGUUAUUCAUAGUAGGCUUUUCAUUUACAAAUCACUGUGGAACCACAAGCCAUUACAAAGCAAAACUCCUUCAGUGGAAACCGUGGAAGAAGAUGGUCUUGGAAGCAAAAGUGACCUUAAAUGACUUUGCCAAUAAAACAAAGGUGUUUGGAGGGAUUUUUGCACCGGUCGAAUCAUAAGACUAUUUUAUUUCAGGGUAAAUAGGCAAUAGCUUCAUUGGAUUUCAAAUCUUAUUUGUAUUAUUUAAUCCCUGCUCUUGAAAUUGAAGUAGAAUACUUCUUAAGGGUGUAAAGUUGUGUUAAUGAACCAGCGUAAAGGCCAUGUUUGAAGAAGUGGUGGGUUUUGCACUUCCAUGACUUCAGUACGUUUGUCAAAGCAAGUGUCGUUUGCUUAAACAAAAUAUGUCAUGGGUUUUUUACAUCAGAAACUAUCUACUGGUCCAUGAACUGCUAGGGAACUGCGCCGCUACAGAAUGCAAGUCUAAUCUUUAACAAGUAACUGAUAAGAAGCACUUUAGAAAAUGUUACUGAAUAUGGGUGGUUUUUUUUUACAAAUACAGAGAUAGCAAAGUAUUUCCUUUGCAAGUCAUCGUCAAGGUUUUCCACUUGUCAUUGAAACUACCAUAACCAGUUAAAAUGAUGCAGACGGUUUACACAGCUAGCACAAUAGCUCUGGUCUGUGGGAAAAACCUCUGAAUGUACUACUCCAAGGAGAACAGCAGUUAGCUGAAGAUGACAUCUCUUCUUUCCCCUUCAGCCCUACCCCAGAAGUAAUGCAGGUGAGCAUUCCCUAAGGGAUCUGCUCAUGUAAUAGAGCAGCAUCUCCUGUUUGCCAGGAGCAGCCUUCUGUCCAUACAGUUCUAUUAAGCCAAAUGCAAACUCAGAAGACCAUGUUUUCCUAACUUGGUUUUGGACUUGCUGGUCCAGGUCUUUCCCUAGCCUCAUCCUCGCAGAAUCGAGGUUAGAGGAUAAAGCGCUGCUACUUUGAACAUCAGGGGAUUGCUGGUAUCUUAGAGCACCUUCACGAGGUCAGUAAACCAAAACCAGUAUCUGAAUGUGUUUCUCUGAUUUGGCUAGGUUAUAACACCUUCCUCUUUGUCCCUCCGAGUGCCCUGAAGGUCAGGGAUGAAGUAUUCCAGGAGGAAGAGGAAGAAGGCUUGUUGUGCCCCUGAGGAAAUAAAUAUGUCCCUAUUGGUCAAAUGGGGUAGAAUCUUCAGUUAUUUAAUUUACACUCCAGCUGGGGCUUUGGAUUUUGUUUUCCUUUUCUUGAGAGGAACAUUCAGGUGCAGAGCCAUGUUUCUCGUGGAAUACCUCAAAAUCACUGUUGAUACCAAUUUACAACUUUAUGUGGUUGACUUGUGUAAUUUCUGGUGUACAAAGCCUCUGGGGUCUAAAAAAAAAACGAAUUAAGGACUUUUCUGAAUGCAAAUAAACACGCUAAAUGCUACAUCUUGCCAACUGAUGGUCAAGUGUGUGAUUACCAUCGGUCAUCUCAUUUGUGGUAGUGGUGAGGACUCGCCUGGCAAUAUUCAGGAGAAACAAAUUAGAGUUGGUCCAAAAGACUGAAAAUAAUGUUUUGCUCAUCAAGAAGUGAUGUGUUUUUUAAGUAGAUGAUUGCAUCUUACACCCCAUAAGCAUUAGCCUCAUGACAGAAAUCAGCUGUGUAUUUCAACCUGGAUAUGCUCUUAGUAGGAAUCGUUGUGUGUGAUGAAGUAGCUGGAUGCUGAAGCCGCGUUUUCCCCAUAACUUUCAGUAUGACUUAGCUUUAGAAUAAGGGAAGAGAAAGCACCGUUGGGUUUAAUGCAAACUGGUUUGUGUUUUCCUGUGAAGAAUGUACAACAGGGCUUUGGAUGCUGAUAACAGCACGUGCCCACCUUGUUUCCAUUGGGCUCCAGGCAGGGCUGCCUCCAACGGCCCCAAACCUGCCUUCUCCUACAAUUUCUAUUUAAAACUGCUACCCUUUGGGUUUAUUUUCAAGUGUUAAAUAAUUUUAAUGUUUGCAAAAUGGAAUGUUACCCAAAAUGUUUAUUGGUUGUUGGUUUUUUGUUGUUUUUUUUUUUCUUUUUAUGUAUAAAAGUUAGGAGCGUGAAAAAGGAAACUCAUCAGCAGAAGUUGCCAAUAAAAACAUCACUUGUCGGGUGGUUUUGGUGGAGUGAUCUGUCCUCGUGCUGCUGCUGGGAAACGGCCCCAGCACUGCUGCGGGGGGCCGUGGGGCUGAGGGCGGGAGGGGGGGAGGUUCUUCUGAAGGCGGCUGUGCUUUGGGGGUCGAUGCGUUCGGACUGCCAUAGCAUUGUUUAGAAGCCCCAACGUGCUUUUACUGCAUUUUAAGGACUCU